GCAGUCCUUAUCUUGCGGUUGUGUGGCUGCUCAGUGAAUGCAUGGCGAGGGCAGCACAGCUAAUGUCUGAGCAAUACAUGCAGUGUGUGUGGCGCAAAAAUUUUUUCAAGC
rnacentral:snRNA from 1 species